rnacentral:lncRNA from 1 species
UAGUUCAUAAAAUGUCUCGUUAGACUUUUUAUCUUUGAGAAAUUUCUGUUUCUCCCCUAUCUGAUCUAAAAAAGACAUGAGAUGACUGCUCCCUGUAGAUGAUGGGGCACCCUCUGACGAUAGUGGUAACAUGAUAUGAUUGUAGGGGUCACAUUUGACGAAGUAUAGUCGUGACCAUAGUUUACAUGUAGGAACACUGUGGUUGGGAUGACCCUGGUCUUAGAUUGUGUCAUGGUUUGACAAGUCAUAAAUGUGUUGUUGGUUUGGCAAGCCGCAAAUAAUUGAUAUAAUACAAAAUGAAUUGGUCAUUCCACAUAAGUAGUUGGAAAUUCAUAUCGCC